rnacentral:rRNA from 1 species
GACGAACGCUGGCGGCGUGCUUAACACAUGCAAGUCGAACGGAAAGGCCCUGCUUUUGUGGGGUGCUCGAGUGGCGAACGGGUGUGUAACACGUGAGUAACCUGCCCUUGACUUUGUGAUAACUUCAGGAAACUGGGGCUAAUACCGGAUAGGAGCUCCUGCUGCAUGGUGGGGGUUGGAAAGCUUAGGCGGUUGGGGAUGGACUGGCGGGUUAUCAGCUUGUUGGUGGGGUAGUGGCCUACCAAGGCUUUGACGGGUAGCCGGCAUGGGAGGGUGAACAGCCACAUUGGGACUGAGAUACGGCCCAGAGUCCUACGGGGGGCAGCAGUGGGGAGUAUUGCACAAUGGGCGGAAGCCUGAUGCAGCGACGCCGCGUGCGGAAUGACGGCCUUCGGGUUGUAAACCGCUUUAGCCUGUGACGAAGCGUGAGUGACGGUAAUGGGUAAAGAAGCACCGGCUAACUACGUG